UACGUAGGGGGGCGAGCGUUUGUCCGGAUUUACUGGGCGUAAAAGCGCGCGUAGGCGGACGCUUAAGUGUGGCCUGAAAGCCCCCCGGCUCAACCGGGGGAGGGCGGCUGCAAACUGGGCGCUUUGAGGGCGUAGAGGUCGGUGGAAUUCCUGGUGUAGCGGGUGAAAAUGCGUAGAGAUCAGGAGGAACACCCGUGGCGAAAGGCGGCCACUGGGGUCGGUCCCUGACGCUGAGGGCGCGAAAAAGCGUGGGGGGAGCGAAACGGGGAUUUAGAAAACCCCGGGGGUAGUCAGACCAAAGUCUCUGCUACCCUAA
rnacentral:rRNA from 1 species